ACAAGCGGUGAGUGCUUUGGGGUGGGGUGACUGCGUACCUUUUGUAUAAUGGGUCAGCGACUUAUAUUCUGUAGCAAGGUUAACCGAAUAGGGGAGCCGGAGGGAAACCGAGUCUUAAUUGGGCGUUAAGUUGCAGGGUAUAGACCCGAAACCCGGUGAUCUAGCCAUGGGCAGGUUGAAGGUUGGGUAACACUAACUGGAGGACCGAACCGACUAAUGUUGAAAAAUUAGCGGAUGACCUGUGGCUGGGGGUGAAAGGCCAAUCAAACCGGGAGAUAGCUGGUUCUCCCCGAAAGCUAUUUAGGUAGCGCCUCGUGAAUUCAUCUCCGGGGGUAGAGCACUGUUUCGGCUAGGGGGCCAUCCCGGCUUACCAACCCGAUGCAAACUGCGAAUACCGGAGAAUGUUAUCACGGGAGACACACGGCGGGUGCUAACGUCCGUCGUGAAGAGGGAAACAACCCAGACCGCCAGCUAAGGUCCCAAAGUCAUGGUUAAGUGGGAAACGAUGUGGGAAGGCCCAGACAGCCAGGAUGUUGGCUUAGAAGCAGCCAUCAUUUAAAGAAAGCGUAAUAGCUCACUGGUCGAGUCGGCCUGCGCGGAAGAUGUAACGGGGCUAAACCAUGCACC
rnacentral:rRNA from 1 species